GGAGGUUUGGCAGAGUUGGUCUUAUUGCACCGGUCUUGAAAACCGGCAGGCGGCAACGUCUCAAAGGUUCGAAUCCUUUAGCCUCCG
rnacentral:tRNA from 1 species